rnacentral:rRNA from 1 species
CAAUAGCGUAUAUUAAAGCUGUUGCGGUUAAAGAGCUCGUAGUUGGAUUUCUGUCAAGGACAACUGGUCCGCCCUCCGGGUGAGCACAUAGUUUGGUCUUGGCAUCUUGCUGGAAACUGUUGCUGCGCUUGGUUGUGUGGUGCAGCUUUCAGCACUUUCACUUUGAGGAAAUUGGAGUGUUUCAAGCAGGCACAUGCCUUUGGACACAGUAGCAUGGAAUAAUUAGAUUGGGCUUUUGCUCCAACUUGUUGGUUCCUGGAGCUGAGGUGAGAAUCAAUGGGGAUUGUUGGGGGCAUCCGAAUUUAGCCGUCAGAGGUGAAAUUCUUGGAUCUGCUAAAGACGGACAACUGCGAAAGCGUUUGCCCAGGAUGUUUUCAUUGA